CCCCUGAUGGAAUUAAGUGUAAUUAGUGGAUUACAGUAGUCGGACAGCACUGCAGUUGGGGAAUAUUUACUACCAAUGGAGGUGUUUCAAAUUGACAUGCUCUAAUUCACAGUGUAGUCGUCAUUAAGAUAAUCGAGCUACGUGAACAUUAUUAAUCCUGACUUUUUGACAACAUCGAUUAAUCAACUAUAUCGGAAAGCUUUAGAUAGAGACCAAUCUUCCAGUUGGUGCUUUGAACGCAUUAAGAACAACGGGUGGCGCACAGUCGCCCGUCAUUCAGAAGCUGACUCCUCUCAAACCAACACAGAGGGGGAUAUAAAGCAUUACUGCGGAAUACCCAGGAUUUGACCUGUUGCCAGAGCUUUAAAAGAAAGGAAGAUUAGGCAACUUGCCAAAAGCAAGACCUCUUCUCUGUUAUGUCUGCCUCCUCUUUACCGGAAUGGAAACAACUCCUGUUGGAGCGAAAGAGGAGGGAGGAGGAGGAGCGAGAGAAGAGAGAAAAAGAGGAGGAGGACAAACUCGCCAGCAUGCCUGCCUGGAAGCGAGGGAUCAUCCAGAGGAGGAGAAUGAAACAGGAGAGUUUCGGGGACAAGGAGAGGGAGGGCCCCCUCCAAGUCAAGGAGGGCAGGUCCCCCUCUGAUCCUGCGAGUGACCUGGACGGCUCUACACUAGUGCAGCUGGGAAGUGAACCACCACUCAGCCCAGACAUCACAGGGCCUUGGCUGGAUGAAGAGGCUAAACCGCAGAGUCUGGUGUUAAAGGAGACCAUCAUCCCUGUCGGACAAAACUCAUUCAUUCGCACACAUGGCGGAUGGAGGGGGGGAAGAGAAGCAGAGAGGGCUGGGGAGAUGGGCCACGAGAAAGGGAAUGAGCAGGAAAUAGAAGUAGGGAGAGAGAGGCAAAAGGAGAAAGAAAGAGGCCACGUCAAAGGUCAUGAUGGAGAGUCUGGGAAGGGAAGAGAUAUAGAAAUACAAAUAGAGCGAUACAGGGACAGGAGUGGGGGCAGAGAAAGGGACAGGAGUGGGGGCAGAGAAAGGGACAGGAGUAGAGGCAGAGAAAGGGACAGGAGUGCCGGGAGAGAGACGAGCCGGGAUACGGUGAGAGACAGGGAAAGGGAUUGCCCGAGAGGGAGAAAAGAGGAGGAGAGGGAGGAGGGAGACUUAAAUUCUCCAACCCCCAAGUACUCCUAUCCACUAGUCCCAGGCCUUCGUACCAUCAGAGCAGACAACAUCAUCAUUAUUGAACAGGACAGAAAGGGAAGUGAUGAAAGGAGGGGUAGAAGGAGAGAGUCAGAGAGGGAGAGGGAGGUGAUGGAAGAGGAGCAGGAAAAUAGAGAUGUAAAGAUGGACCUCCAGGAGUUUCUGGCUGGUGGAGGGAGUGUCACAGAGAUCCGGGCAUCAGAAAUAUUGAUCAUUAAACCCUUAGCUGGCAAUGAGGACUCAAGAAGUGGAGGUCUCAAAGGGACAGGCAGGGAAGGAGACGGAGAAAGAGGGAGAGAUGCAAAGUACAAUAAAGAUGGAGGGAAAGACUGUGAGAGGCAGCUGGAGAGAGAGGUGGCAUGGCUGAUGAUGAAAGAUAAAGAGAGGGAAAACUUGAGGGAGAAAGACCGACCACGGACACAAGUAGCUUCUUCAGAAAAAGAGGAUCGGAGAUAUGGUGACACAGAUGACAGUAUCCACAACGAGAGAGGAGUUAGGGUGAGUGAGCUGCUGAGUAAAUUUGGGGAGCACACAAAGAAAUUCAGAGAACAUCCAAAACCCCCAUCCCGGUCUAAAAGCUCAGAGUGUUUCAUCCGGCCUGGCAGGGGCAGAGAAACGUUUUGUCUGGAUGAUGGAGACAGCAGGGAGGAGGAACAUGCAGGAUUCAGGGGUGUGCCCAAGCGGUCAUUCAGCUUCUCUGACCGCGUGAUAUGCACAAAGGAGAAUGGCAUGCAGGACGAGGGGAACCAUGAUAGGAAGGUUGUGGAGAGGACAUGUUCAGACAGGAGGGUGGCAGCAAAGGGAGAUGUAGUGGAGGGGGAAUGGUCAGAGAGGGGAGGCAAGCAGGGGUGCUGGACCUGGCUUUCAGAUAAAGUGCCUGUGGGGAAGCAUAGAGAGGGAUGCAUAAAAGCAGACAGGGCGGUAGGGGGACAGCACGAGAGGCGGCCUGCUUUGGAAAGUAACGCCGGAAAAGAGAUUGACCGUUGGGUCGAGAGAGUAACAGGAGUGGAGUUAGAUUUUAGCAACAAGGGGACAGAGGGACUCAGAGAGAAUAUGUAUGGGGAGGUAGGGUUUACAAUGGCCUCAGUUAGAAACACAGAGGCCUCGUUUGCGCGAAGAGUGCCCAUCAGACAGGAUGGUCGAGAGAGAGCAGUGGAAAAAGAGGUAGAGCAAAUGAGAGAAGAAAGCGAGAGAGGGUUGGACAAGGCGAGGAGCAAAGGGAGAGAGGGGGUGGGUGGAAGAGAGGCGGAACCUCAAGUGUGGGAGAGAAGGGAGUCAGAGUUUAGGAGAGGAUCAGAGGUAAGGGACAUGAAGAGGGUAUCAGAGGUAAGGGACUGCACAAUUUCAGUUGAAACAACUCAGCAAAACUGUGUGAUCACCCUCUCCAUCGACAGAGCCAGUCCUCCUCAGUCUGUCGAUAGUCAUUACAACCACGUGUCAGCGUUUGCAGAGUGCUCAUCAACCUUGCUCAGUACUGUGGCACAUAAAGGAACAGAUUGGCAUAGUAGUCAAGGAGCACCGGGACACCAUUCAACCCAGUCACCACUGUCACAGCACACAGAGGAUCUUAUCAACAAGAUAGAGAGAUUGGGGGGGACAGUGAAUGAACGUGACAAUCACAAAGGGACCCAAACAUUGAUGCAGGAUGGCAAAGGAGUGAUGAGGGAGGACACAGAGACUGAGAGAGGGAGCAAAGCUUAUAGGGAGCCAGGUGAGGUAAGCAAGGACACUAUACAUUCACCUGGCGCACACGUGCACAGUCAUGUUUACCCCAAAAAGUCAGUUCAUGAAGUGACGCCUAAAUGUCCUAAGUCUCCAAAGUGCUUUGCCUCAGUUGGAACCCCUCCAAUGCCACUUGAGAUACACAUACCAAGGACCGUGUUCUAUGGUGUCGGGGAGGCAAGCUUCCAAAGCGAAUACGACCAGAGCUGUGAAGGAGAGGGAGGAAAAGGUGUGGAGAGGAAGGACAGUUGGAGGAUCGGCAAGCCCUUGUCUCACAUCGAAUCCUUGCGAGAGAAAAUCCAACAGAGAGAGAAGGAGAGGCUGAGGAACAUGGAGGGAGUGGCAACGACGGGGGACGAUGGAGAUGCGACUGAGGGGACAGAAAAGGCUGGGACUAGAAGGACUAGAAAAGCUUCAAGUUCAGACUGGUGUGAGGAAGGAGAGAUGGGGAACGAAAUAGAGCGAGAGAGACAGAGACAGGAAGGCUCCCCACCGCAGACAACAUCCACUCAGUUUGACGUCACACAGGAAGUGAGCGUGUCAAAAGCCGUCUCCCAGCUUCCUGUUCCUCUCUCGUUCUCGCAAGCUGUCAAAGGAGAGAAAGAAACCAGAGGGAUCUCCAUCGCAGCCUGUGAAGCAGCCUUGUUCAGCUCUCACACAACUGAGAGAGGGGAAGAUCCAAUCAAACAUGUACUAGCAGAGUUGCGGUGCGACAGGGGUCGGCAGAGGAAACAGAACACCGGAGGCAAAGGAGAAGAAGGAGAGGAUAAACUCUCGGAGGAAGAGUACAGGCUGCAUUAUCUGCCUCCUUCACACUCUCCCGCACCCUUAGACUCUCUCUCCCCCUCUCUGCUUCACCCUCCCCCUCUUGCUGAAAUGAGCCGGAUCUAUAACUUGAAAACGGUGGGGUCCAGGGCGGCGGUGUGCAUGAGUGACAGGACCGUGGAUAGGCCUAUCCCAUCACACACUCCUAAGGUACAGUCCGACAUAUCCGCAGAACAGCAGAAGCCAUGCAGUCCAGAGAGAUCAGUUGGGAGGCUGACACAGAAGCAGCUGUGGGGUGGUGGUGGGGCUCCUGGGAAUAAAGCCUCUUCCAGCGAUGAGAAGUCCGGACUUCAGAAUGUACAGCGUCAGGUGGAACAGCUUCAGUUGCGAGAACAACAGGAAGUACAGAGACUAUCACAUGACGACAACGCAGCACAGUUGUCUUUUGGACAAAAUAUUAAUUUGAAAGAUAAAGAGUCUAAAGCUCAGCAAAGCCCUAGGAUAUCACACAACCAGCCUAAUAAGGAACCUCAGCAGAAGCAUCCGAGGCAAAAGGACCAGCAAACAAUCCUAAAUCCCAGAAAGUCUCAGACCAAUCUGCAACUGCACUCUGAAAGGCCUCCUCAACCCAAGCAGGCCCAGUCCAACCAACCCAAACAGGCCCGAUCCAUUACCAUCAACUCCAGAUCUGUCCUGACCCCCUCUCCUGAGAACUCAUUACACCCAGACCAGGGAGUACCAACCACCCCAUCAGCUUCCCCAUCCCAGUCCCCCUCCGUCUCUCCCUCCCCUUCCCCUUCUCCGGCCCAUUUCACCAUCAGAAGCCUCUCUGGAGGCCAGCAGGUCAAGAGGGGCACCACCAUCACCAUCACCCCCAGGAAGCCUGUUGGAGGGGCAGUCGUGGAAGCUGUUUCAGUAUCCUCUAGACCCCUGGCCAAUACGUCUGCCCAGUCCCAGAUGCCUGUCCUAACCGAGGAAGGAGAGAGAGGCAAGAAGAGGUACCCCACUGCGGAGGAGAUCGAAGUGAUCGGCGGGUAUCAGAACCUGGACAAGUCCUGCCUGGUCAAGACUUCCAAAGCAUCUCCCAAAGGGGUGAAGGUGUGCUUCGAUGAGACCCAGCUGGAGCAGGUGUGUGAGUACCCAUCAGAGACCUCCAUGUUUGACUCCACCCACUCCCCCUUACUUGGUCAGGUGAAAGGGAGGGAGGAGGAGGUGAAGGAGGAAGACGAGGAGGAGAGAGGAGUGCUUGUGUCCAGGAGCAGCAGGAAUGUGGGGGCAGCGGUUGGCCUGAGAGUGCUGAGAGUGGCAGUAGCCCAGGUGAGAGCCCUCCCGAUCAUCAGCGUGAUGAGGUAGGCUAUCUUGGAGCGAUCCGAGGGGAAGGAGGAGGGCUGAAGCUUGAAGACGAGGAUACAUUGAGCUAGGAACGCCCGACAGGUGCUCGGCUCUCCAUUGAAGCAUUCUGGAGGAGAUGAGUCUUGCCAUCGGUAGACAUCAGUCGGCUCGCCAAAUUGCUCAAGUUAUGUGGUUAAGAUAAGAUUUUAUCUUGCAAUAUGACUUUUGUUUUCCUGUAUUUUGUUUCUUUGAAACUAUUCAUUUAAUGUUUGUAAUCUUUUUUGAUGUACAAUAUUUUAUUUUUACAUAGGAUCAGGGACUAUUGGUUUUGAAUAAAAGAAAACAACAGUUUUAUGUAGUUGUUGAGAUGAAUGUGUAACGAUGUGCGCUGAGAGUCGGGAAGCAAAUUCAGGGAGUGAGUGUUUUAAUAAUUAAACGCAAUAUAAUACAAACCACAAACAACGCAUAGACAGGGAACUGAAACAGAAACAAUGACACCUGGAAUAGGAACCAAAGGGAGUGACAUAUAUAGGGAAGGUAAUCAGGGAAGUGAUGGAGUCCAGGUGUGUCUGAUGAUGCGCAGGUGCGCGUAACAAUGGUAACACGUGUGCCCCAUAACGAGCAGCCUGGUGACCAAGAGGCUGGAGAGGUAGCACACGUGACAGAAUGGUGGAUGGAGCCUCAACUCCUCUAUUUCAGUGUAAAAGUGUAAAGACAAUAUGAAAACAUGGUACAUAUUGUAACCAAUAAGUUUUACUAUAUACACUUGUUGUAUUUUUACUAUCAGUUGUGUACUUUUGGGUGAUGAUCACAUCUAUGCAAGUUAGUGGAUUACAAAUGUAUGGUAAAAAGGGUCCGGUCAGUUUAGUUUUAGUUAGCUUAGAUCAACAACACAACGUCUCUACUGUAUAUAAACUCUGCAUCAGCACUGUAACGAUUCCCUGUGCAUUCCAAAUGACACCCUAUUCCCGACAGGGCUCUGGACAAAAGUAGUGCACUAUAAAGGGAUUAGAAUGUCAUUUUGGACACAUCCUCAAUGAUACUUACCGUAUAUCAUCUGGUCCCUGUGCCUGCUGGAUUUGCUCAUACCGAUGACAUAAAGAACAGGUCAUCUACAAGUCCAACGUGAAUUUUGAGCCUUGUGAACACCCCUCAUGUGUAGUUUCUGGUAAACCAUGGCUAUAUGUAACAUCAUGACAAUUCUCUUUUGUUCAAUUACUGUUUCUGUUUCAACCACAACAUGGAUAUCAGCUAGCCUUAAUGCACAUGAUUUAAAACACUGAUGAUACAUUAUGGAAUAAUCACCAAUACACAUUAUUAUAAUCUUCUUUUUUUAGGUUUCACUGUUUGCCCUUUAGUGGAAUUAAUGUGGUAGAAUGAAAAAGAGUAGUAUAUCUACUGUAUCUAUACUAAUUUGACUGCAUAGUUUUGAAUGGAAAAGGUAUUAUGUUUGUGUCUCUGGUGUUAUCAUGUGAGAGGAUGUGGGUGAAAACAUGAUUUAAGGGAUGUUUAUAACAUUUAAUCCAUAGAAUGGUCCUUUGGAGGAGGGAUUGGUGACAUAUAUUUGGCAUUUGUAUCUAAAAGCAUAAUUGAGAAAUAAUUCAUCAAAGUUGGCAUAUUUAUGAAAUGUUGAUCUUACACAGGUCUCUUUUAAGACCUUAUGUUUAUCUGUAGGUGCUACAGAGCAAACAUUGGUGGCAUAUGAAGCUUUACCGCUUGCUCUGUAAUAUGAGUAGUAUUUUGUUUUCAAUAACAAUUUUCUUGCAUUAAUUUAUGAAUACAGAAGAAUAAGUACAUUUUUUGAUUUAGCCAUUUUUUCUAUAUAUUGUUGAACAUAAUAUACUCUAUGGACAUAUCAAAGUUCUCUGUUGCUUUUAAUUAUUAUCCAAUUUGUAAGCAUUAAGAACAGAGUGAAUGUGAAAAUUGAUUCAAAAUGGUUGCCCUCUGCUGGUGAUUUGCAGGAUGUACAAUAUGUUGAAAGAUUUGCCAAAUAUUUUUUUAUAUAUUCUAUAUUCUUGUUUAUGUUAUAUUCAUUAAUUCAUGUAAGAAAAUUGUUAUUGAAAUCAAAAUACCACUCAUGUUUCAAAGUAAGUGGAAAAGAGACACAGGUUUUUGUAGCACCUACAUAUGAAACAUGGCAUCUUAAAGGAGGCCUGGGUAAGGACAAAAUGUAAUAACUAUGACAACUUCAAUGAAUUAUUUCUCAAUUCUGCUUUUAAAUACAAAUGUAAAAUAUAUUUCAAUGAUCCUUCCUCCAAAGAAGCAUUCUAUGGAUUAAAUGUUGUGAAAUCUCCCAACUCAUGGUAUUAUGUCAUCCUGGUUUUGUGAGGAAUCACCGACAUCCCAAAUAAGGGCACAAACAUUAUAAUGGCUCCAUGGGAUGCUGUAAUCUCAAUUUUAGGUGCUCUUUUUUGAUGAGAAAUAAUCUAAAUGAAGAAUAUCAGAUUGGUGGUAUAUCUGAUUUAUGCUCCCACGUGUGCAAUUUUAAUACUACUUUUAUUCUGUUUUCUAUUGUGGUCGAAGAAGCUGGCUUCAUGAGAGAAAAACAUCAAAUAAAUUAUUUGAAACUAA